rnacentral:rRNA from 1 species
UACGUAGGGCGCAAGCGUUAUCCGGAAUUAUUGGGCGUAAAGAGCUCGUAGGCGGUUUGUCGCGUCUGCCGUGAAAGUCCGGGGCUCAACUCCGGAUCUGCGGUGGGUACGGGCAGACUAGAGUGAUGUAGGGGAGACUGGAAUUCCUGGUGUAGCGGUGAAAUGCGCAGAUAUCAGGAGGAACACCGGUGGCGAAGGCGGGGUCUCUGGGCCGAUACUGACGCUGAGGAGCGAAAGCGUGGGGGAGCGAACAGG